GCCCCCCGCCGGCUCCGAGCGCCCCGGAGCGGGGCGGCGCAGCCCGGCGCCUCGCACCGGUUCGGCCGGGCCCGCGCCCGCCUCCGCCUCCUCGCCUUUCCCCGCGCCGGGGACGGAGCGCGGCUCGCCCCGCGACCCCGCGGCCCGCGCCGCCGCCUCAUCCGCGCCGAGCCGCAGCCGCCGCCCCCCCGGGGCGAAGGCCCGGCGGGCCCCGGAGCGGCGGGCGGCCGGGGCCGGGCCUGGCGCAAAGCGGCGGCGGGGCCGGAACAGGCCGCGAGCCUGGUGCGCCCGGCGGGCCUUCCCCUUCCACCCGACGGCGGGCUCGCCGGCCGCCUGCCCACGCGGCCCCCGGCGCCGGGCAGCCGAGCCGGGGCGGUCCCGGCAGCGCUCCUUACCGAGGCCCGCGAGAGACGGGAACCGAGAAGCCGAGGCCGAGCGGCGGCGAAGCCCGAAACUGACACGGCGGCCAUCUUGGUGCCCGUUGGCGUGCGGAGCCGCGUGCCGUGCCCGUACCACUCACAUGCACGUGCUCGAAAACUGCUCUCUCCUUAGGCGGCUUUGUGAGGUGCCAACAAGAUAUGGGAAAAUUCUUGGAGAAGUUUAAAUUUCAAGUUAGCAUCCCAGCUACACAGCAACUCUUCAAAGGCCAGACUACUCAAGGGAUUUUGACAAGAUAUCUCUUGUGAUUAGUUUUUCAUAACUCUAUAGGAUUAUAAACAAAUGUAUUCCCCUUCAUCCUUCCGCAACCUUUACCUUUGGUGUGCAGAAAUAAUUAAUUACCCUAUGGUUUCUUUUGCAUUGGCACUGACAUUCUUGAUGACUAAAAAAAACAAGGUUACCAUAGGAAAUAUAAAGAAGUAACAACAUCGUGAACUAGGUAAAAUAUUAACUAUUUUGAUGAGGAGUGCAAGCAAUUUAUGCUGUUGCAUACGCUUAACUAUGUGCUGCUGUUUUCUGUCUAUGAUGCCUAUACGACUUCUGUUAAUACAGACUCCAAAAGCCUCUUAGACAGUGAUGAAGUUAAAACGAUAUAUAUUUAUUUUAAAUUUAUAACAGAAUGCUGUAAUUAAAUGAAAAAUUUAUACCACUUUGUUGCUCUGAAAUGCAUAAUUCAUUGCAGUAAUUUGAAUUAGACAUUUAAAAAACAUCUUGCUGCUUAAAAAUGCACUUGAAACAAAUCACGAGUGUAAAUGAUAAAUCAAUGUAUAGGUGAGUUCUCCUUUAUUUCUGUUAUAGUAAAAAAGCUCACCUAGUGCAUGUUGAAUUAAUAAAAGGUAACGUCAGAGACA
rnacentral:lncRNA from 1 species